GAACUGUAAGUGCCUUUUUAUGAAUGUGAUGUUUAUCUAAUUGUUCAGGACUGGAACACUGGACUCUCAAAAGGGUAUGGAUUUGUUCAGUUUAAAGAAAACGAUGCUGCCAUUGAAGCACUUCGGGCUUCACAUGAAAUUGCAGGAUCAAAAGUGCUUGUAAAAGUAAAGAAACAGAGUAUCCAAGGUAGUGAGCAAACUUCGUCCUCUCACACUCAAGCAGUUGACAGCCCAACAUAGUUGUGCUUAGUGUACACAAUUUGCAGACACUGUGUAAGAGUUGGUAGUUCUGUAGCCUGGUAUAAUUAUAUUCCUGUUGAAUGAAGAGCAAGUAACAAUGGCUGAACAAUGGCUGAAUGCCACUGACUGCAUUGCAGUACUCUUGUAGUUCUUGGUAGAUUUGUUUAGAUUCGUGUUGAAAAGAUAGCAUGCAAUGGAAGUUGCUCAUAUUCAU